AUAUUUUUUUUUUCGGAUGUAGUUAAGGGAUAAUAGAAUUUACAGUCAAAAAUUCUUUGUGGGAGAGUUAGAACGAAAAGAUGAGAGAAAAAAAAAAGAUUCAAGCCAAAAAGCAACAUUACAGCUGUUUAAAUAUUUCAAUCUAAAAAUGACAAGCCAAAGAAAAAUAGUCACAGAUUGUGUGUAGGACUAUUUCUUUUUGAAAGGGGUUGAGGGGGCAUAAGGAAUACUAGUCUUUAUCGGCCGAUAAUAUGUGUCUGUAUUUCUGUUGGAGGGCGUUAUAAAAGUGAGCCGUUUCAAUUAAAGAUAGCACAUACUAGCAUUCACAUGCGUAAAAUAUUUUUAUGGUUGCGUUAAAAUAAAAAAAAAAAAUUUUAAAAAAAACGGGGGGGGGGGGGG